AGGGAACGCUGGCGGCAGGCCUAAUACAUGCAAGUCGAACGGCUCUUCGGAGCAGUGGCGGACGGGUGAGUAACACGUGGGAACGUGCCCUUUGGUACGGAACAACUGAGGGAAACUUCAGCUAAUACCGUAUGUGCCCCCAUUCUUAGCGGGAUGGGUGGGAAAGAUUUAUCGCCAUUGGAGCGGCCCGCGUUGGAUUAGCUAGUUGGUGGGGUAAAGGCCCACCAAGGCUACGAUCCAUAGCUGGUCUGAGAGGAUGAUCAGCCACACUGGGACUGAGACACGGCCCAGACUCCUACGGGAGGCAGCAGUAGGGAAUCUUGCGCAAUGGGCGAAAGCCUGACGCAGCCAUGCCGCGUGAAUGAUGAAGGUCUUAGGAUUGCAAAAUUCUUUCACCGGGGAAGAUAAUGACGGUACCCGGAGAAGAAGCCCCGGCUAACUUCGUGCCAGCAGCCGCAGUAA
rnacentral:rRNA from 1 species